CCAAAAAAACCCUUGGCAAAGUUAAACUCCAUCCAGCAAAAUCUAUCUACUGCCGAACCAAAACCCUCUGCGAUCCCUAAACUCCCUCCGCCAAAAUCUUUCUGCCACCGAACCAAAACCUUUGAUCGUCAAGUGGCAGAUCCCAACGCUGAGGUGAUCGACCAGUCUCUUCGCCUCCUUCGCCCCUAGCGCUAAGGAGACCCCUCGCACUGGCACGACUGCCUCCCGUAUGCUAUUGCGACUGCCACUCGUGCCGUCUAGUAUGCUGCUGCAUCUUCUUCUAGUUUGAUUUUGUUGCGCGUCGCUGUCGUUGCCUCGCCUGGAAGAAUCUCGAAUCUCGCUCGUCACUCCUUUUGAUCUCACUCUCCGAGAAGUCGCCAAGGAACCUAAGCGUGUCUAAUCGCCAGUCCAUUUUUUUUUUUUCAUUUUGACCCAUCUUGGUGCUUUUUUUCCUCCAUAUUUAUAGGUUUGCUGGAUUUCUCGGAUUCAUUGGUCUAGCAUAAUGGUGGUACAUUGAGUUUUUGUUUUUUUAUUCUUUGCAAUAAUAUUUGCGGUUGUUGAUGAUAAGAUUUCCCUCUGUUUUUUUUUUAAACUUAUCCUCCGGUGAUUUUUGUGAUGUUCAGAAUGCAAGAUUGCUUAAAGAUGAAGCUACCAAGGAGAAAGGAGAUCAUGCGAGAAUGAUAUAUCUAUUGGGUUGAAUCAAAAUUUUACAUUGAAAAAAUUUAAUAAAUAUCGUAGGGUUAAAAUGAUAUAUGAUAUCUUCAUUGGUAUAAGGACUUUUAGAGAGCCCAAAAGCAAAGUCAUAAGGGCCUAGGUCCAAAGUGGACAAUAUCAUGUCAUUGUAGAGAUAUGCGGACAUUCUUUAGGCAUAACAAAUGAAAUCAGAGUCAUGAUCUAAACCAAAUGUAAUGUGGGGUGACCUUGAACGAAGUUGAGGGUGGGUCCGGAGUAGGACAGGAUGAUCGGAUACUUGCGAGGAGGCCCGGAGUAAGUCAGGAUGACUGAAUGCUCGCAGGGAAGUUCGAAUUAGGUCAGGGUGAUCGGAUGCUCGUAGAGAGGCCCAAAGCAGGUCAGGGUGACCGGAUGCUCGCGGAUAGGUCCGAAGCAGGUCAAGAUUGAUUGGAUCCAGCUACUUAUGAGGAGGCCUGGAACAGGUCAAGAUGACCGGAUACUCGCGGGGAGGCUCGGAGCAGGUCAGGGUGACCAGAUGCUCGUGGGGAGGUGAGUAGGUCAGAGUAAUCGGAUGCUUGCAGGGAGGCCCGAAGUAGGUCAAGGUGACCGAAUGCUUGCGGGGAGGUCCGGAGUAGGUCAAGGUGACCGAAUGUUUGCGGGGAGAUCCAGAGCAGGUCAGGGUGACCAGAUGUUCGCGGGGAGGCUCGGACCAUAAGAGUAAUUGUGGUUCUUUGUUUGAGGGGAGGAUUGUUAGGGUUCAACCAAAGUCCCAUAUUGAAAACAUUUGGUAAAGAUCAUGGGGUUAAAAGGAUGUAUGAUAUCUCCAUUGGUAUGAGAUCUUUUGGGGAGAGCCCAAAAGCAAAACUAUCAGGGUCUAGGUCCAAAGUGGACAAUAUCAUGUCAUUGUGAAAAUAUAUGGAUAUCUUUUGGGCACAACAGUAUAGAUUUGAUUUAAUCAUUAGUAAAAAAUUAGUUAGACUAACAUUAAUCUCAAUUUGUGUAAUCGAGCUUGCUCUAGAGUUCUGAUAUGAUUUUUCUUUUAUGUUUUCCUAUAUGCUUAUGAAUCUCAGAUUGAGUUUGAUUAUAGGUUCUACGAACUUUUAGAUUUCUUUUUUUGCAUUUUAAAUUUAGUAUAAUUAGCAUCUUAUAUCUUGUUUCCUCAGUCUGUAAUUAUUACAUGGUUUAUUGUCGUUGUAGUAAUAACUCUUAGCACAUUUUAGUGGAACUAUGUUGAUGAGGAUGGAAACCUUUUUCCAAAUAGCUCCUGCAAUCGAGCGUGUGAUGUUAAGUUUUUUGGCAUUAUCAUGACUAGAUGAGCAUAUUAAACCACAGGACAAUGUCAAUCUAUUUACUUUUUACUAAUUAAUUGAUAGAUGUUGGAAGCACGAUUACUUGUUUGACACUAGAGAAGAUCAAUUCUCUGUAUGUGCAAAUUCAUAUAUCUUUUUAACAAAACUAUUCGUUUGUUGAUGGCUUAACUUUUGAUGUUAUGCAGGAAUCAUUUGUUGGUGCUAUGGCAGUUGUGAAUCUGGUCAAGACAACUUUUAAAUUUGAGGAUGUCGUAAUGUAGGAUAUCAUAGAUUAAACUAUUGUUUGUUGGGUUGGUCAACAGUUUAUAAAACAGCAUUUAUUAUUAUUUUUGUUAUUAUGUUCUUAUUUACAUUGUCAGGUUAUAGAACAAUUACUGAUGGUGUCUCUAGUUCACUUGCUAUUUUUGAAUACAAAUUAAUUAAUUGAACGAUAGGUUUUUAGUUGUAUUAUCUAUAUAAUGCCCUUGUGAUUUUGUAGGAUACAGAAUGGCUACUAAGUGUCCACAAAGUGCAUUGCUGCAAAAGGCAAAGGAUAACAAACAAAAUCCAGUCAAAAUUGAAGAAUGUGAGUCAUGGAGAUAUCGGUGAUAAUUCUAAAUGUAAGAUGCGUAUGUUGAUGGAGUUAUUGCAAAAGGUUGAAUUACAUCUACAAAUCCAAAACCAAAAGUGUAUCAUAUUCUUCUUGGUGGAUCUUGUUGGAAAGUUUGGAAUGAUAGAAUUUUUGUGGAGAAGAUGGACCUAAUUUGAUCAAAUGAAGAAAUAUUUUUUUAUCGAGGAUGCAAUAGGAAGCACAUUCGCUUGGUUAUUUAAGUUUAUAGUUUUGUAUGAGUUAUAUAGAUUUUACUUAUUUUAAA